ensembl:lncRNA
UUCACAGUUACAUGGGCAAUGGUGCUUUGGCAGCUUAAUGCAUAAGGUUGGGGCUGAAUGUUAUACACUCUUAAGACCCUCUAGUUCAUGAACUUCUCUAAGGGGACCUGUGGUUGGGGUGUAAUAGAAAGCAUUGUUCUCUCCCAACCUUAGAAUUGCCUGUAAGAUCAAGGACUCUGUGCUGAUUCUCCUUAAUUAGUAGAAAAUUCAGACUGGAUAUAAGGAAGACAUUUUUUACUAUCAGGGUGGUGUGGCACUGAAAUAGGUUGCACAAAGAGCUGGUGGGUCCCUUGCCCUCAGAGACACCCAAGGUCAGACUGGAGGGGCUCUGAGCACUGAUGGAGCUAUAGGUGUCUCUGUUCAUUGCAGGGGAGUUGGACGAGAUGGCCUUUAAAGGCCCCCCCAACUCAAACCAUUCUAUGGUUCUAUGAAAAUUAAAUGGAAAAGAUUUCCAGCUGGCGUCAGUGAAAUGUAUAAAGGAAACAAAAAAUUCCGAGAUUGGAUCAUCACUGUUAAAGACAAUUAGCAAAUAAAGACAUAAGCAUGAGAAACUUCAGAAAAGCCUACAGAAAGCCAUGCAACAGCCUUGGAAGGAAGAUGGGAUCUCAGCUUAAGUCCUCCACUUAACACAGAAGUGACGCACUCAAGACUGUGCCCAUAAUUUCUGUUAAUGUAAAGCCACCUCCUCCUCAAAACUCCUCAUUUGGCUGUGAAUUGCAGUUCAGAACUCACCCAAGAUUUCAGGCAGAACUCUUCAGAAACCAGAAGUGGUUUAUUCUUCAUUUCUUAUUUCUUAUAUUCUUAUUCACCUCGGGAGAGCAAGAAGGUCAGGUGGAUCCUGAGAAAUGCAGUCAGACUCCAGAGCUUGACAAGUCCUCGGUGUGCAGGAAAAUCUAAGGGAAAUGCCCACAUUAACUCAUAUUGAUGAUUACCCCAGCAGAGUCUGGACUCUCCCUCGAUUCAGUGAACACACUGGUAUGUAGCAGAGCAAGCAAGUUCAAAGCCUCAGCAGAAGAAAAGGCCAAACAAGAAAUUAUCCCAAGCCUGGCAGCAUUUCCACUUCCUAUAUUUUAUUAUCCACCUCCUCCAGAUGAAGGGAAAUGGAACAGUGAAAGAAAGAAAAGCCAAGGAGAAAAAGGUCUGGGUGCAUAUCCAAGCCACCCAACUGUGACAGUGAAACACCAUACGUGCAAGCUUGAGAAGAUGACCUACAUGAACCUAAUGAGGUCCAGCAAGGCCAAGUGCAAGGUGCCAUGAAGGAAAGACAGGGGUGGGAUGCAGCCUGCAAUUUGGACAUGCACUACGUCUCUGGACUUAUGUUAAAGACAGUGCACACACAGGGUACAGUUCGUUUUCCUACCCACCAGCUGCCAGCCAAGAAGAGAAUGGGUCUUCUGUAGACACCCUGUCAUAUCUGUCACCCCAUGCAAAUGUCUCACAUUCCUUAAGGUGUCUCAAAGGGCACAAGAAGACUGUUUAGGCACCUUAAUGGAGUCCAAAGCUACAGUCAUGUCAAGGCCAAAAGUGUCAUCAUUAUGGAUGUGGUUGUUUUCAGUAGAAGGUUACCUGAAAUCGCAUCAAACCCUCCAGGCAAGUCAGAACUCAAUAGAAAAUGGAAUGAGAGCACUUCCAGAGGGCUGUAAGUUCAGACUACGUAUCAAAGCUGGCUGAAACAAGAAACAAGCAAACCCUUGCUGAUAUCUCUGCCAAAUCAACGAUACACUUCAGACACACAGUUGGAUUGGGAUUCCCAAAGGAACCAAAAGCAUUUAGAUACCCAGAUCUUUGAAAUCAAUGGCCAGUUCCUCCCAGCUUCCUUGAAUACCAUUGAGAAUACAGAUCUGAUUUUGGUCUUGCUUCUGCCUUUCAUCC